rnacentral:rRNA from 1 species
GACGAACGCUGGCGGCGUGCUUAACACAUGCAAGUCGAACGGAAAGACCCUGCUUUUGUGGGGUGCUCGAGUGGCGAACGGGUGAGUAACACGUGAGUAACCUGCCCUUGACUUUGGGAUAACUUCAGGAAACUGGGGCUAAUACCGGAUAGGAGCUCCUGCUGCAUGGUGGGCGUUGGAAAGUUUCGGCGGUUGGGGAUGGACUCGCGGCUUAUCAGCUUGUUGGUUGGGUAGUGGCUUACCAAGGCUUUGACGGGUAGCCGGCCUGAGAGGGUGACCGGGCACAUUGGGACUGAGAUACGGCCCAGACUCCUACGGGAGGCAGCAGUGGGGAAUAUUGUACAAUGGGAGGAAGCCUGAUGCAGCAACGCUGCGUGCGGGAUGACGGCCUGCGGGUUGUAAACCGCUUUCGCCUGUGACGAAGCGUGAGUGACGGUAAUGGGUAAAGAAGCACCGGCUAACUACGUG